UAAUACGUAGGGUGCAAGCAUUGUCCGGAUUUAUUGGGCGUAAAGAGCUCGUAGGCGGCUUGUCACGUCGGAUGUGAAAACUCGGGGCUCAACCCCGAGCCUGCAUUCGAUACGGGCUAGCUAGAGUGUUGCAGGGGAGACUGGAAUUCCUGGUGUAGCGGUGAAAUGCGCAGAUAUCAGGAGGAACACCGGUGGCGAAGGCGGGUCUCUGGGCAACUACUGACGCUGAGGAGCGAAAGCGUGGGGAGCGAACAGG
rnacentral:rRNA from 1 species